rnacentral:rRNA from 1 species
GAUGAACGCUGGCGGCGUGCCUAAUACAUGCAAGUCGAGCGAACGGACGAGAAGCUUGCUUCUCUGAUGUUAGCGGCGGACGGGUGAGUAACACGUGGAUAACCUACCUAUAAGACUGGGAUAACUUCGGGAAACCGGAGCUAAUACCGGAUAAUAUUAUGAACCGCAUGGUUCAAAAGUGAAAGACGGUCUUGCUGUCACUUAUAGAUGGAUCCGCGCUGCAUUAGCUAGUUGGUAAGGUAACGGCUUACCAAGGCAACGAUGCAUAGCCGACCUGAGAGGGUGAUCGGCCACACUGGAACUGAGACACGGUCCAGACUCCUACGGGAGGCAGCAGUAGGGAAUCUUCCGCAAUGGGCGAAAGCCUGACGGAGCAACGCCGCGUGAGUGAUGAAGGUCUUCGGAUCGUAAAACUCUGUUAUUAGGGAAGAACAUAUGUGUAAGUAACUGUGCACAUCUUGACGGUACCUAAGCAGAAAGCCACGGCUAACUACGU